rnacentral:rRNA from 1 species
UACGGGGGGGGCAAGCGUUGUUCGGAAUUACUGGGCGUAAAGGGUGCGUAGGCGGCCUUUCUUGUCGCGUGUGAAAGCCCCGGGCUCAACCUGGGAACGGCGCGCGAGACGGGAGGGCUGGAGUUCGGGAGAGGAGCGUGGAAUUCCCAGUGUAGAGGUGAAAUUCGUAGAUAUUGGGAAGAACACCGGUGGCGAAGGCGGCGCUCUGGACCGAGACUGACGCUGAGGCGCGAAAGCGUGGGGAGCGAACAGG